UACAGAGGUCUCAAGCGUUGUUCGGAUUCAUUGGGCGUAAAGGGUGCGUAGGCGGCGCGGUAAGUCGGGUGUGAAAUUUCGAGGCUUAACUUCGAAACUGCAUUCGAUACUGCCGUGCUUGAGGACUGGAGAGGAGACUGGAAUUUACGGUGUAGCGGUGAAAUGCGUAGAUAUCAGGAGGAACACCGGUGGCGAAGGCGGCUUUCUGGACAGAAACUGACGCUGAGGCGCGAAAGCUAGGGGGAGCAAACGGG
rnacentral:rRNA from 1 species